AUUAAAUUUUGUUAGUAAGUUUUCACGGUUUGGCAACCAAUACAACAUUUUCAGUAGACAACGACAUGAUUUAGUAAGAGAAAUAUGAGUGAAUGAAGGGGAACUAUAGAAGAGAGUUUUCAUCAAGGUCAUGAUCAUUGAUCAGAACAUAUGGAGAUAUAUAUGGAAGGCAAUGAAAGGCUGAUGGUAGAAGAAGCCAUGAGCGAGGGGAAGAGAACAAAGAAGCUCUCUAGAUUCUCUCAAUUAAAGGGAAAAUCGUAAAUGUCACCGAGGGAGAGAGAUUGACAACCAUUCAGAGACAUGAAUAUAACUAGCAGUCAAAGUUGUGGAGCAGGAACUAGUCAAAAAAGCUGGGAGAAGGAUUUCAACAACUUGAUACAUGAUAAGCUUGAAUGACAAAUAAAUCACGGAUGCUGCUCCAGAAAAUUGGUAAAGCUUCAGUAAGCCAGUACAAAACAGAGAAGACCUGCUGAUGAAAAAGACAAGCAAAUAUUUUAUCGCUAAUUUUCGCAGACUAUAGAGAAAAAACUGCUCUUCAGGAAAACGCCAAAGUUUUUGUUAGAGUUUACAGAGACCUCGAGACUCGAGCUGAGAUGAUGAUGUCCACAUAAAUUUGAAACUAAAGGAUCCCUUGAAGCCUAAACAACACAUAUCUGCCUACAUAAUUACGAGAGGAGUGCUGCCUUACGAGAAUUUGAGAUAAAGAUGAAUCGGAGAAGUGUGGAAGAACUUGUCUGCAAAACGAAAGGGUCUGUAAGAAAAGGAGAUAUAUAUGGAAGAAGCAUGAGCGAGAAGAAGAGGAUAAAGAAGCUUCUCAAAUUCUCAAGGAAGGGAAAACCAACAAUGCCACUAAGUCAUGUAGGUUUGCACAUGGACAUGAUUUCUAGUCAUGUAGGUUUGCACAUGGACAUUAACAUAUUAAUGUCAUUUUGGUUUUCAGGUCUAUUGCAACGGAGCUCUCCAAUGGUUGUGCUUUUUAUCUUCUCCCAAUAGCUGGAGAAGGAUAAAAGUACUAGUCUCUAAGCAUUUUGCAUCAAUUUUUUUUGUGUCAACGAAAUUCUUUUUACCAACAAACAAGGUAGUGUUUCUCUAAUUCUUUGUUCUAGAUUAUGUUAAUCGCUCUCUAUGGUAUAAUGUUUAUCACUUUUCUUUGUCAGGCUGGAAACAUUUUUAGGUUUUCUUGUCUCCACUAGAAGCAGUUUACAAGAGAUGAUUUUUUCAGGCUCAGUGAAAGAGCAAUGUUCGUAGUGUGAUAAUUUUACCACUAGAAAAUGUGAUAAAUCCAAAUGGCAAGUGCUGCAGGUUUGGCGAUUAUUAAGUGCAGGACAAGCAGUGGAGUAUAGAAUGUUGGUGAUGAGGCUAUAAAGGGAAACUUGAUUUUCUUGUUUUGUUUUCAACGGGACUUGAUGGUACAUCGCACGAAGACACACAUAGUAGUCUCGUCUCUUCUAUGGUUUCUCACGGGUCAAAAUUUAAGGGGAGCAAUACGUCUCAGGUUCCUUUGUUACUUACAUAUUCAUGAUUUUAAUAUGCAGAUUCAGUUUUCUGCCCAAGAAAUGAAAUAAACUCCAUAGUUCUUAUGCUCCAUAGGAUAUAGAAUAGAGAGGCAUGUAUGUAACGGUUCCUUUGGUUUGUCAUCUUUCACUUUUAACAUCAGUAGUGUUGGGUGUCAACAAAAUAUUCUAUCACUAGUAAAGCUGGAUGUCAUCAAAACCGUUGAAGAUUAGUUACUACUUGGCAGACACUAUUUCCAAGUUGAGAAGACAAGGAGAGACUCUAUAUGCGAUAGGAACAACUA